rnacentral:rRNA from 1 species
AUUGAACGCUGGCGGCAGGCCUAACACAUGCAAGUCGAGCGGAGCGGCGGACGGGUGAGUAAUGACUAGACAUCUAGCUGGUAGUGGGGGAUAACGUCCGGCAACGGGCGGUAAUACCGCAUACUAUCAGACGCGCCAAGGUCGGCUUAGAUAGUUGGUGGGGUAAAGGCCUACCAAGGUGACGGUCCGUCACUGGUCUGAGAUGAUGAUCAGUCACACUGGAAUUGAGACACGGUCCAGAUUCCCACGGGAGGCAUCAGUGGGGAAUAUUGGACAAUGGGCGAAAGCCUGAUCCAGCCAUGCCGCGUGUGUGAAGAAGGUCUUCGGAUUGUAAAGCACUUUAAGUUGGGAGGCGGUACCUACAGAAUAAGCACCGGCUAACUUCGUGCCAGCAGCCGCGGUAAUAC